UACAGGGGGGGCAAGCGUUGUUCGGAAUUACUGGGCGUAAAGGGCUCGUAGGUGGCCAACUAAGUCAGACGUGAAAUCCCUCGGCUCAACCGAGGAACUGCGUCUGAUACUGGUUGGCUUGAAUUCGGGAGAGGGAUGCGGAAUUCCAGGUGUAGCGGUGAAAUGCGUAGAUAUCUGGAGGAACACCGGUGGCGAAGGCGGCAUCCUGGGCUGGCACUGACGCUCAGGCACGAAAGCGUGGGGAGCAAACAGG
rnacentral:rRNA from 1 species